rnacentral:rRNA from 1 species
AACAGGGAUUCCCCCAGUAACGGCGAGUGAANAGGGAUUGAAAGCCUAGCCUGAAUCCUGCAGUUGGCAACAAUUGCAGUGACAUGUGGGCUGAAGAAAGUGAAAUUAGCCAAUGCCGCCAUGGGUCCGUGUAAGUCCUCCUAAAUGAGGCCCGUGUCCCAGAGAGGGUGCAAGGCCCGUGUCGCGGAUGGCGAGUGUGUUGGCGGACACUUUCGGUGAGUCGGGUUGUUUGGGAGUGCAACCUAAAUGCGGUGGUAAAACCCAUCGAAGGCUGAAUAAUUGAACGCGAGUCCGAUAGUGAACAAGUACCGUGAGGGAAAAUUGAAAAGCACUUUGAAGAGAGAGCGAAAUAGUGCGUGAAACCGCUCAGAGGAAAGCAGAUGGGCCCUCGAAGGCAUGUGGCAAGGAAUUCAGCCGGCUGGCGUGUGAUUUGGUGGGCACGCAUGAUUGUAUUUAUAUAUGCANUGGAGUGUGCUUAACUGCCAAUCAGUUGCCGGUGCACUUUCCUUGCCCAGACGCCACCANUGUCGUUGGCGNUGUGCCCGACGGUUGUGUGUGUUGAACGUUAGCUGCUUAGCGCACAUGCUGCGGCGUUCCAUUGGAGCGUGUGCGUGUGUGCGCGUUGUUAGCAGCUGGCGAUUGCAUCUAAUCGUUCGGCGUUGAUAANAGUUGCGGCACGCCAUGGCAUUUUGUCUGGNCGUUUGCUUGGUUGCACAAUGUACGACUGCGUGGCGCGGUGACAGGGCNAUNGUCAAUGCGCGAUUGUCCAGUAGUUCGACGCUNUGUGCGUUCGGCUGCUUUCCGUUUGUCAACAGUUUAGCGUACGUUUUGUGUGCUAAGUGAAAAGUUAGGCCGGUGGCGAGUAGACGGUCUCCUAUCUAUCCCGUCUUGAAACACGGACCAAGGAGUUCAACAUGCGCGCGAGUCUUUGGGUAUGUGAAUUGAUACCCGUNAACNNAGACAGGCUCAGUGAAAGCAACGGUCUCCUCCUAGUUGAGGAGUCAAUGUGUGGCGAGAUUUUUCCUGCUGGCGUUUUGCGGCAGUUGGGAAAACGCAUCGCCGGCGUGUUGUAUAGCUUACGGGCUUUGAACACAGCUGGAGCGUGUACGUUGUGACCCGAAAGAUGGUGAACUAUGCCUGGGCAGGACGAAGCCAGGGGAAACCCUGGUGGAAGUCCGUAGCGGUUCUGACGUGCAAAUCGAUCGUCUGACCUGGGUAUAGGGGCGAAAGACUAAUCGAACCAUCUAGUAGCUGGUUCCCUCCGAAGUUUCCCUCAGGAUAGCUGGCGCUUUUAUGAAAAAGCUAUAAGCAAUUUCUCCCGGUAAAGCGAAUGAUUAGAGGUAUUGGGGCCGAAACGACCUCAACCUAUUCUCAAACUUUAAAUGGGUGAGAAGUCUGGCUUACUUAAGUGAAGUCCGGACACAUGGAAUGUGAAUGCAUUAAGUGCCAAGUGGGCCAUUUUUGGUAAGCAGAACUGGCGCUGUGGGAUGAACCGAACGCUAGGUUAUGGCGCCCGAGAAGACGCUCAUCAGAUCCCACAAAAGGUGUUGGUUGCUAUAGACAGCAGGACGGUGGCCAUGGAAGUCGGAAUCCGCUAAGGAGUGUGUAACAACUCACCUGCCGAAGCAACUAGCCCUGAAAAUGGAUGGCGCUCGAGCGUCUCGCCUAUACCUNGCCGUUGUAGUUGACGGUGUGUGCACCGAUCAAAUUCAUACUGCAACGAGUAGGAGGGUCGCGGCGGUAUGCGUUGAAGGGUUAGAGGCGUGAGCCUGCCCGGAGCUGCCGUCGGUGCAGAUCUUGGUGGUAGUAGCAAAUACUCAAGCGAGAACCUUGAGGACUGAAGUGGAGAAGGGUUCCAUGUGAACAGCAGUUGAACAUGGGUCAGUCGAUCCUAAGGUAUCGGCAAAAGCCGUUCAGAUGCGGUGUCGGUUUUGAUUACGUGAAAAAUAAUCAAUGCUCGGCCAUGUUGGUCGGCNAAGUUNUUNUUAANUGUUCAUUCCGGUGGAUNGUUGAGCGCGCUUGGUUGAUGGCUUGGUUUGGGCUUGACUAUGUGCUGUAGUCUGGUGCAUGGUCGCCGCACCUGCCGAAAGGGAAUCGGGUUAAUAUUCCCGAACCCGGCAACGGAGACUGUUUGUUAGGUGCAGGUUGUGUUCUGGUGUUCAUUUAGUGUCCUUUACUGCGUUCGCGCGCGUUUUGGCGCUCNAUGUUCGCCGCNCAGCUUUCUGCGUGCNUGGCAAAUCACUGCGGUAACGCAACCGAACUCGCAAACGCUGACCAGCGCCCUGGGAAGAGUUGUCUUUUCUUCNUAAGGAGCCGACUCCAUGGAAGCGGAUCAUCCGGCGAUAUGGAGAUUGUGUCCGUAAAGCACCGCGGUUCUUGCGGUGUCCGGUGCGCGCUGGUCGGCCCAUGAAAAUG